GUCCACGCCGUAAACGUUGGGCACUAGGUGUGGGACUCUAUCGACGGGUUCCGUGCCGUAGCUAACGCAUUAAGUGCCCCGCCUGGGGAGUACGGCCGCAAGGCUAAACUCAAAGGAAUUGACGGGGCCCGCACAAGCGGCGGAGCGUGUGGCUUAAUUCGAUGCAACGCGAAGAACCUUACCUGGGCUUGACAUUUUGGUAAAGCAGGUGAAAGCCUGUGUGCUUCGGCGCCAAAACAGGUGGUGCAUGGCUGUCGU
rnacentral:rRNA from 1 species